rnacentral:lncRNA from 1 species
UGGCAUAAUAAUGUCUAGGAUUUUUAAGGUAUAGGGAAAAUUAGAGAUAGUGUAUCUAUCUUGUCCAUAUCCAUAGUCCUUAAAAAUUUUAGAUUAUUUAAUGACAAGUCGUAAUGAUUAUUGAAAUUAAUUUUGAAUUUUAAGUGUCUGAUAAUACUGACAUAAAACUGAUAUUCAUUAACUGUCGGUUUCUUUUUCAGCUAACAAUCAUAAUGCAUUUAGAAGUGUACCUUCAGUCGUUUUCCACUCAAGACUGAAUUUGAACUAUGAGCAAAGUGUUUGAAAUAUAACUGAUAUACAUAAGAAGUCUUGACUAAAUUAGUGAUAUGGAAAAGAACCUUCUAAAACUCUAUAAAUUCAAGUAUAAUCUUUAGGCAAAGUAUUCAAAAACUUCUCACAUUUAGUAAAUGCAUAUGCUACUUUUGCCUAGUUUUGCUUUGUGAUCUUCACAUUGUCGAGUAGAACAUUCUGGCUUCCAUGAUGGAGAGUUAAGUGCUGACACACACAUACAAGUUGCACAGCUAUCAUCAAAUUUCUUGAGAAACAGAAUUAUACUAGGCAUUUUGCUUUCAUUUUGAUUUUAAGCUCACUAAUGCAAAAAAAAAAUAUUCCUUUUAGAUUUUUAAUUUCAGAUCAGGGAUAUAAAAAACUGGAAAAAACUUUGCUUCCAUAUAUACANUUGCCUGCAGGUGAGAAUACAAGUUUCCCCACUUGGCUAUUGCUGAAAGAAAUGAAGUGGAGGGAGGCAAAUUUUUUUCUUUAGCAUUCUAUGGAGUAGGAUGUUUGUUUGUUUGUUUGUUUGUUUUUGGAAGCUUUGGUUUUGCCAAGUUGACAUUUUUCUGAUACUUUUAACAAAGAGAGCAAAUUUUUCUUUGCAAUUUUUGUUUGUAUUUACCUACAUUUGCAAGAUGUGGGCUUCUCCUGCAUCCAAGGUAACAAAAGCAGAGAGCUCACCACUGUCAUACUGUUUCUUGUGUAUAGCGGUGCCUGGCUUAUCUGCUUCCUAGUAUUUGGCUUUAGAGUUCUUAGGUUUGUCUGGCAUAAUAAUGUCUAGGAUUUUUAAGGUAUAGGGAAAAUUAGAGAUAGUGUAUCUAUCUUGUCCAUAUCCAUAGUGCUUAAAAAUUUUAGAUUAUUUAAUGACAAGUCGUAAUGAUUAUUGAAAUUAAUUUUGAAUUUUUAGUGUCUGAUAAUACUGACAUAAAACUGAUAUUCAUUAACUGUCGGUUUCUUUUUCAGCUAACAAUCAUAAUGCAUUUAGAAGUGUACCUUCAGUCGUUUUCCACUCAAGACUGAAUUUGAACUAUGAGCAAAGUGUUUGAAAUAUAACUGAUAUACAUAAGAAGUCUUGACUAAAUUAGUGAUAUGGAAAAGAACCUUCUAAAACUCUAUAAAUUCAAGUAUAAUCUUUAGGCAAAGUAUUCAAAAACUUCUCACAUUUAGUAAAUGCAUAUGCUACUUUUGCCUAGUUUUGCUUUGUGAUCUUCACAUUUUCGAGUAGAACAUUCUGGCUUCCAUGAUGGAGAGUUAAGUGCUGACAGAUACAUACAAGCCACACAGCUAUCAUCAAAUUCUUGAGAAACAGAAUUAUAAUAGGCAUUUUGCUUUCAUUUUGAUUUUUGGCUCACUGAUGCAAAAAAAAAAAAUCCUUUCAGAUUUUUAAUUUCAGAUCAGGGAUAUAAAAAACUGGAAAAAAUUUUGCUUCCAUAUAUACAACGGAAAACCUGGAGAAACUACAUAUUAGAGAUUUUUAAAAAUACUUGGAUUUAACUUGGGGUUUUCUACUACUAAGCUAUAUCCCUAGUCCUCUUUUUUUUUUUUUUUUUUUUUAAUAUUGCUGAGGCUGGCCUUGAACUUGUGAUCUUCCUGCCUCAGGCUCUCUAGUAGCUGAAAUUACAGGGCCAGCUAUAUUAGUGAUUUUUAUUCAAUCUUUUAAGAGCUGAAAUUGCAGAUUAAGACAUUAACCUAAAUGUGAAGAGAGAUGCGCCUACAGGGUGUAACAGGAACCAGACAUUUACAUACCUGCUGCUGAGGACACCAAAUGCAUGUAAGUUGAUAACUAUAUCAGGUAGAAUUUGGGACUGAAUUUCUAAAGCUCAAGAUUCUACAAACCUGAAAGUCUAUGAACUAUAAAAAUAGUUGGUUUCUUAGUUUCUUACAGAUUUUUUUUCCUCUAGGAAUUCCAUAAGCUACUAACAAUAAAGAAUGGAAAAAACAGGGGCUGGGUUGUGGCUCAGUGGUAGAGCACAAGACUUGUGCUGUGAGGCAUUGGGUUCGAUCCUCAGUACCACAUAAAAGUAAAAGGUAUUGUGUCCAUCUACAACUAAAAAAAUUUUUUAAAAAAGAAUGGAAAAAAUUAAAAAGAUGUUGUUUUCAUCAGUUUUUUUCGCUGCUGUGACUAAAGAACCCAAUCAGAACAACUGUACAGGAGGAAAAGUUUAUUUGAGGGCUCAAGGUCUCAGAGGUUCUAGUCCAUAAAAGGCUGGUUCCCUUUCUUGGGGCUCAAGAUGUGGCUGAACAUCAUGGUGGAGUGUGUAGCAGAGGGAAGCAGCUCACAUCAUGGUGAUCAAGAAGCAGAGAGAGUCCUCUACUUGCCAGAUACAAAUAUAUGUAUCCCAAAGCCAGACCCUAAUUCCCACCUCCUCCACCCACACCUUACCACUUCAGUUACCACUUAGCUAAUCCCUAUCAGGUAUAGUGCUAUACUUUGAUUCUGCUUGAUGGUAGUAGUGUCCCUUUCUCUGUGGUUUCACUGGAAACCAUAUAGGGAGCAUAGACUUCCAUUCCCUACUCUGAGGUAUGUCAGAAAGCUGAGUAGGAACCACUGAUUUUUACCACCUCUUAGUUGGUAACAAGCCUCACUCCAAAGAAGUAUUAUUGGAGGCCACACGUGUAGUAGAAACAGUCAUAAGCCCCCCUUCUAGCUAGGUGGUAUCAAAGGAGGCUUAGGGCAUUAAUCCUGACAGGAAUUAAUUCAUUGAUAUGGUUAAGACUCUCACAACCCAAUCAUUUCUCCUAUGAACCUUCUUUCAUUGUCUCACAUAUGCGCUUUCAGGGGACAGCACAUCUCAAUCCUAACAGAUGUCAUCUGGUGCUGGCUGGAAAGGGAGAACAUCAAAAUCUAUUUCCAAAAUCUAUUUCCUCCAUAUACAAUAGUUCCCUAUAAUAGAAAAGGAUUAAUCAACAGGGGAAAGGGCUAAGAUGUUUGUAAUAUGAAGAUACUGGUGAAACCCAUUACCGGGGGUGGAAAAAAUGUUUUACCUUGGCUGGGAGGGAAAGGAGUACUUUAUAGAUCCAGCAUUACAGCUGAGAAGGACAAGGGUAGGUAUAUCUGUGGAUUAUAUCCCCAAAACCAAAAUUCACAGUGCCUGCCUAAUAUUGAACGUCAAUCAUAACACAAGACACUCCCCAUGUUCUCUGCCUCAUUUCAAGCCCGUAUUCUAUACUAUAUAUAAUAUAUAAAGAAAAAACAUCAGUAAAGAUAGUUGAAAUCUCUAAAAGACUCAGAUUUUGUCUGCAACAGAACAAAACAAAGCCAAGUAGAGAAACCCAAAGACAAGCAAGAAACAGACUUCUCUAUAGCAAACUGUUGCUCACUGUAAGCAAGAUAUCACUAGGGAAAUGUGAAGAAGCCUGUAGUACAAUGGAGAGGCUACAACAACAACUAAGAUCAAAUAUCCCCAAUCGACUUACUAGAUAACAAUACUUUCAAACUAAAGACCUAGGCGAGAAAGAAAGUAUACUCAUCUCUGGUCCAAAAAAAAUAUUGCUUCCUUAUGCAGUAUGUCUAGUUUUUAAAAGAAAAAAAUAAGGAUGAUUACAGAUAAGCAAGAAAAAGCACAAUCUGAAAGAUUCAGUAAUCAUAAAAACCAAACUGAUAGAUGAUACAGAUGUUGAACCUAUCAGAAACGGCAUUUAAAACAAUUUAAAUUAAUAUUUUAAAUGGUCUAGUAGAAAAGACUGUACAACAUGCAAGAUCAGAUACUCAAAUUCAAUACCAAAUACUGUUAGGUAGCAGUUUUUCAUGAGUAGUGGGGUCAGGGGUUUAAGAAAAUACUUAAUACUGAGCCAAUUAGUUAAUUAACGGCCCUGUCUCAGUGGUACCACAAGGUAUGAUACGAUAACUAUUUAAAUACCCUUUCCUGAUCUCAUAAAUCAUUUUUCUUACAACAGGAGGAAGAUAGAUAAAUGCAUGAGGUAAGAACCAAAGGGGAUGGGUAUACUCACUCAAAAGGACCUAAUUGCUUAAACAUCUAAAUGAGACCUGCUCAAACAUCAUAGACCAGAGAUUCCCAACUUGGGAAAGGAGAAUGAUUCUGACCAG